rnacentral:pre_miRNA from 1 species
ACUGGAAUUGCUGGGUCAUUGUAGUCAGUCUGUAUUUUUCUUUUUAAGAAGCUGUCAAAUUGUGUUCCAAAGAGGCUGCACCACUUUGCAUUUCUACCAGAAGU